UUCUUCUAGUAUACUUAUUACAAUUGACUUCCAAUCUCUAAAAUCUGGUAAUUAACCCAGAGAAGAACA
rnacentral:tRNA from 1 species